rnacentral:rRNA from 1 species
GCUUAACACAUGCAAGUCGAACGAUGAAGUGGAGCUUGCUCCACGGAUUAGUGGCGAACGGGUGAGGAACACGUGAGAAACCUGCCUCGGAUUUUGGGAUAACAAAUGGAAACGUUUGCUAAUACCAAAUAACGUCGGAGAGUCACAUGACUUUCUGACGAAAGGAAUUCCGAUUCGAGAGGGUCUCGCGGCCUAUCAGCUUGUUGGCGGGGUAAUGGCCCACCAAGGCAACGACGGGUAGCUGGUCUGAGAGGAUGGUCAGCCACACUGGGACUGAGACACGGCCCAGACUCCUACGGGAGGCAGCAGUGGGGAAUCUUGCGCAAUGGGCGAAAGCCUGACGCAGCAACGCCGCGUGCGGGAAGAAGGCUUUCGGGCUGUAAACCGCUUUCAGCAGGAACGAAAAUGACGGUACCUGCAGAAGAAGGAGCGGCCAACUAUGUGCCAGCAGCCGCGGUGAUACAUAGGCUUCAAGCGUUGUCCGGAUUUAUUGGGCGUAAAGAGUUCGUAGGCGGUCGAGUAAGUCGGGUGUGAAAAUUCUGGGCUCAACCCAGAGACGCCACCCGAUACUGCUUAACUUGAGUUCGAUAGGGGAGUGGGGAAUUCCUAGUGUAGCGGUGAAAUGCGCAGAUAUUAGGAGGAACACCGGUGGCGAAGGCGCCACUCUGGAUCGACACUGACGCUGAGGAACGAAAGCAUGGGUAGCAAACAGGAUUAGAUACCCUGGUAGUCCAUGCGGUAAACGGUGGGCACUAGGUGUGGGUUUCUAUUAACGAAAUCCGCGCCGUCGCUAACGCA